AUCCUCAUAUCAUUGCUUACUAAAGGACUUAAAGAUGACAUAGAAAAAACCUGGGUACUGUUUCUCUGGGUUACGAAUUUAGAUGUCAAUAACAAAAAUGUAACAAAAGGGGGAAUAAAAAAUACACCAAAAGGAGAUUUAAAGGAUGUUCAAAGUGGCAUUCUUCAUAUUGCCGACUUCUACACGACUUUAUGCAGCCACGCUGGGUUGAAGUCGGUAACCAUAGAAGGUCUUCAAAAAAGACGACAGUUUUACGAUUUUACGAUUAAUGGAACAGAGAAAAAUCUAGUCCGAGAAAAAUGGAAUGCCGUGCUCUUAAAAGAUUCGUGGCGCUUAAUUCAUGUAGGACUCGGAAAAGCAUGCAGUUCGAAGGUAACAGUAUAUAAGCAGAAGAACCACUGAGGUGUAUACAUAUUAAUCAAGGUGACAGACUGGAAAUUUACGGGUUGAUGUUUGCAACAUUGCCACCUUUUGAUGUUCUGUAG